AUGUUGUGAAUAUCAUACAAAAAUUAUUUUGCGUCUUUUUUUUGGUUUAGCAAUGAGGUAAUUUAUAGCAUCUAUCUAAUUUUCAUUCAUAUUCAAAAUGAUUCUAUUUCAUUGAAGUAAGCCUAGUUUAUUCGUAUUUGGAUAUCAAUGGAUACUAUUCCAUUUUUAAAAAGUUGAGUAGAAACUAUGGAUAAAGAAAUUUAAAAAAAAAAAGGGAUGAAUAUUCACCUUCAGUUAAUGAGAACAAUAUAGUGUUGAAUAUUUGCAAAAUUUACUUAAUGCACCCAAGUACGACUUAACAUUUACUUCUUUAUCGAUUGCGCAUGCCCAUUCUGUACAAGCACGUGCUUCAAAGAAAGCAGCAUGGUCUUUUCGAAGUGGAAGGAAGAAGGCAGUCUAGCCAAGCCCAGGCGUGGCAUGAUGUACUGAAGAAAGAAUGGUAUUAGAAUAAGACAAGGAGAAAAUGAGAGGAUUAUCAGGAAACCACAAUGUAAUUAUACCAAGGAAAGCUCGACUCUUCUGAGAUCUGAGAAGCAAAGCUCUGAAGGGCAUCUGCACAAGUACAUGUGCUCUGAUGGAUUUGAGAAUGUAGUGUUGGAUGUGGAUAUAAAUGGGCAUCUGCACAAGUACAUGUGCUCAGAUGGAUUUGAGAAUGUAUAGUGUUGGAUGUGGAUAUAAAUGAUAUGAAGUUAAAAGAAAACGACUGCAACAGAGCCCGAGGUUAAGAAAUAUAGGAGUCUGUUUGAAGUAUUUAACUCCAGACUUCAUCUUUCUACCAUCUCGGGCUUAUAUAAUCUUCUGACUUGUAACUGAGCUGAAAUGGAAUGUCUCUAGUGAUGCGGUUUUGUCGUCUUGCAAGAACUUUGGAUUGGGUGUGCUUUUUAUUGUUUUGAAAAUAAAAAUAUUCACCAGAAAUUUAAAA